ACUGAAAAUAUGAGAGCAGCUGAUUGCAGUUCAUAGUGAGAGUGGAAUUGAACCCCACUAUAUACCUCCUUAAUUUCCUGCAAAAGGGUGGGAAGAGAGGAAGGGAGGAGAGAUGAUACUUUCCUACAUCAGAUUAGCAAACAACUCUUUAUUUGUUUAUAUUUUUUUAAUGUGAAAGGAAGCUGGGAAUCAUAUUUAUUUGUCUUUUGUACAACGCAACUCUCAUAUUUUACAAAAAUGGAUAUAAUCAGCCCCAUAAAAUUGUAAUCCAUGGGAUCUGAAAGCAAACACUCUUUGUAAUUAUUUAAAAGAGCCUUUUAAAAAAAUUUUAAUACAAAGGUCUGUGCUAUAGAAGCAGUCCUCCACUGUGCAUAAUAACAGUAAGGCUUACUUUGAAUACAAAGACUAAUUACACGUUUGGAGUUACAAACCACUGCACUUAACAAACAUCAUUGUGUAAUUGCUCUUUGUAUCCUUCUUAGCUUUGGGGUCUUCCACUUCCUCUGGCUGUUCAGUAGCAGGUAAGUCUUCAACAGAUUCCUCUUUCUCAGACUCUGAAUCACUUUCAGAGUCCUCUGGACUUUCAGGGUCAGGUGAGUCGUUGUCGUCAUCAUCAUCAUCAUCGUCUUCAUCGUCAUUUCCAGGAGCAUCACCUUCCCCAUCAGGAUCCUCGAACUCACUGAAGCCAAGUCCACAAUUGUCGCCAGUAUCUCCCUGAAAAUUUACUGUCCAUACUCUGUUGAUACUGAGACGCCAGGUCUUCAUUCAUUUUCUUUUCUUCUUCCCCUGUUCUGAAGUAUGUUCUCAAUCCCUCAUGUAAGACUUUCUCUUAUAGAAUUAUGAUAAAGGCCAAUGGGAGGACAGCCACCUGUUAGAUGACGAUGGCCAGAAUUUAUAUCACUCUUUAAAACAGCUCCAAAUUGUUUCCCUUCUACUACACCUCUACCCACUGAGAAGAUGGAGAUUAGAGGAUUGCUAUAGGCCACUUCCACCAUUGCACUCAUCCUUCAGAUACUCAUGGAGACAGUUUCCAGUCAUAAUCAUUUGUGCUAUUUUGGGGAAGGACCUGGGUGUGAGACUUGUUCAGCUUCAUAUAAAGGAUUGCAGGAUCAAGAAGAAUCAUGUCACAGUGGAUAGCUCCAGCCUUAGAACAUAGAAGACCUCAGUUAAAAUCCUCCCUUUUGUGUACUGGUUAGAUGACCCUGGGUAAAUCACUAAGCCCUCUCUGUUCUAGACCACUCUAAAAACUAUAAAUUGUGAAAAAGAUAUUGGCCUGAAGUGGUAGAGGGAGUUUCCUUAUCCAGGGGUUCCUUGUAUCAAUUAAAUCAUGUCUGGUUCAUAUUCCUGUUCCUAUCCAUAAUAUAAUAGAUCUAGAAUUAGAAAGGUGUUUAGAGGCCAUCUAGUUCAUCCCUUCCCAACCCUGAUUUUAUAGAUGAGGAAACUGAAAACUGAGGUUAAAUGAUUUGUUCAAGGUCACACUGGUAGCAAAUGGCAGAGCUGGAAUAUGAAAUCAGAUCUAGACUCUAACUCUAUCCAAUGUGUAAGUGGG
ensembl:lncRNA